GACGAACCGUACGAACGUUAUUCGGAAUCACUGGGCUUAAAGGGUGCGUAGGCGGUGCGGAAAGUUGGGUGUGAAAUAACUAGGCUCAACAGAGGAAUUGAGCCCAAAACUACCGUGAUCGGGGGAGACAGAGGUGAGUGGAACUUAGGGUGGAGCGGUGAAAUGCGUUGAUAUCCUAAGGAACACCAGUGGCGAAAGCGACUCACUGGGUCUCUGCUGACGAUGAGGCACGAAAGAUAGGGGAGCAAACGGG
rnacentral:rRNA from 1 species